CCGGAAGGGAGCCAAGCUUGAGCCAUCUUGAUGGGAUGCAGCACACUAGACGGUACCACCAGAGGCUUGGAAAAGGCCAACUGGAUGACUGCAAGGUGCAAAUUGUUUACUGAAGAAAUUCAUCAUAUAGCCGGUCAAGUGUUUGGAUUCUGUUAGAAGAUUGAGAACAAGGUGAUAAAAUGCAUCAUUUCAGCAUCACAGGAUUUUGAUGACCAGACAAAGGCUUUGAAUUGUGCCUGAUGUAUUUUUUUAAUGCACAGUAAAUAGGACUCCAGGGCCAACUCCCCCG
rnacentral:lncRNA from 1 species